GGGCUCGUAGCUCAGUUGGUUAGAGCGCUUCGUUGACAUCGAAGAGGUCUGCAGUUCGAAUCUGCACGGGCCCACCA
rnacentral:tRNA from 3 species